GGAGAGCACCCACUGCUCAUCUGAAUUCUAGAGAACCACUCAAGUGCAUAUAGACGGCAUCCAUCCUAAGAAGGAAAGUGCUCUCUAAGAAGCCACUAUGCCUGAAAUGCCACCAUAUGUAUACACCAUUCCACUAUGGAAAACAUUGCCUUUUCGGGGCUCUUCCUGUGAAAUGCAGGCCAUGAGCUCUUGCUGGACAUACCAGAACAAAGACAUAGUCUCUUCAAGAUGGCAUUCACAGCCAUAGGGCAGGACGACAGGUGGGCGACAACCAUAGCCAGCAGAAGAGCAGACACUGGAACAGAGGUUCAAACCAACAACUAUGGAGCGAGCUGAGGUGGUAACUCAUGGUCCGGGGAGCUGAGAAAGUCCUGAGGGAUCUCUG
rnacentral:lncRNA from 1 species